ACACGGAGGGACAAGUGGCAAAGAAGGCCAAACCAGAGCCUAAAGAAGGCCUAACCAGAACUAAAAAUGCUUUGCGCUGGUUAGGGGGUACUUGGUUAAAAAAAAAAAAUUUUCACAGGGGGUACAUCACUGAAAAAUCUUUGUGGCAAGGCCCUUCAAACCAGCCAACCUUUUCUAUGAUAAUAGCAAUUCAAACUCUUGGCAUUCUCUCAGCCACCUUAAGUUAGACACUGGGAAUGGUUUUCCAGCAGCCCUGAAGGAGCUCCCAUAAAUGUUGAGCACUGCUUUUCAUUCACUUACCGAUCUGCUGUAUGGAAGUGGAGGUACGAAGUCGGAGGCAUCAGCCAUUACUGAUGUCCCCCCACCCAGAAACACCUGGCACCACGGCGAUAACUCCUCCUGCCUCCUUUGUCAACAUUAAGGGAAGUGGAUCCUUGGAAUUGCAUGAAUGGAGACAGGCUCCCUGUGUACACCCAUUGUUUGAUCACCAAUCACCAACACCUGAACAUGCCCUGCGUCUGACCAGAUACUAGCAGUAAGAAAAACUACAUAUCCUCAACGAAAUAAUCAGAUGCUAAAGGUCCAUCAGAAGACCACAACCUUUUAUGCUGAAGCUACCUUUUGGAUAUCAAUCAGGUCAUCUACAGUAUUUUUAUGGCUCAGGUCCUGAGAUCACCAUCCAGUGAUAGAAUGCUACAACAAGAAGCACAGCGCACAGCAGGUCCACCAUUACACUGAGAAACACUAAUAACCACCCUGCCGAUGUGUCAAGGUUGUUUUUAGGAGUUGUGUAUGAGUGAGAUGUCUAGAGAGGUUCAGAUGUGCACACUGGGAAGAAGCCAGGAGGAGUGUAAGGUCUCAGCUUUAGGAGAUGGACCAGAGCUUCUACCCAAAGAGCUCCCCACCAAAUGGCAGUCUCUUAGGUGAUUACCAUACUGAAAGGUUAAGUUCAGUGUUAGGUCCCAGUGAUUUACAGACAGACUGGAGCAGCAAGACCUCGGUGGCAGAGAGUACAAAGUGAAUUAAUUACCCACGCCAAGUCUCGCCUUUAAAAAGGGCACAGGCCAGGCUGUGUCAUCCCAUGUCAAUUUCUCUGGAAAAUGAAGCACAUCUAGAACUCAUUUUUGAAGGAUGAGCAACAGAACACAUGGAAGUGUUUUUAAAUAUGUGGAAUUUAUUUGAGCAGAUGCUGUUUUUCCCUUCUCUCAGAUAUUAAUUUUUUCAUAA